rnacentral:ncRNA from 1 species
UGCUUCUUUCUUCGGGGCGGAGCUCGACCGCCAACACAAGAGAUAGUCGCCUUCAUCGACGCCAACCGGCACGAGUUCUUCGAUGGCCACAAGCUCGGAGUCGAGCCCAUCUGCACCGCCCUGCGCCAAGCAGGAGUGCAGGUGGCUCCG